GAGUUGCCUUUGUAUGCCGGGAGGACCAAGCCGGAGGUUCCCACUAUGAGCCUGGAGUCUGAGCAGCCAGAUGACACAGGAGGUGAUUGACACCCUGCCAGGUGCUCAGGAUUCCAAGGGGAAAGACAGUGGCUUGCCCUCCAGGUGCACACUAGCUCUCGCUGAGGAAGCAGGGACAGGAGCAGGCAUGUACUUUGCAUUUGGUUACCAGAAAAUAACUAUGCAAGAUGCCAAGAUAGAGAGGCAAUUAAUAGUCCUACCCAGUUGUGAUACCUUUCAACCAUGGCAAUGACCAGCAUGAAAAUGGAGACCAUCACAGAAAUCCACAGCUGGACACAAUGCAGACAUCAACAGAUCCUGGGUAGCCCUACCCCACAACUACGUCACAACUCCUGCAUUUAUGGCUCUGCAAACAUCACAGAGAGGGGCUAGGAAGACUGUAAGAAUGAAACACCAGAAGUUGGCUGUGAAACAGUCUUUCCUAGAAAUGCCUGCAUAAGCAAAAUUUGAACAAUGGCAGUAUCAGUAGACUUGUUGAUGUGGAAAGGAAAAACAACCUCACAGGGGCACAUCUGUGGAUAAGGCAACUGAUGACUGCUGGGAAUGGGAGAGCUACCCUCUACCUGGGAGGAGCUCUCUAUUUAGUUAUCCAAUACAAACAGUAUCAAUGAAACUGUACAUAAACAAAAAAUAGAAUGGACUCGGUAGGUUGUAUUUGUGCAUAAAUAUAUGUAGCAAUAAUAGUGGGACAAGAAGAGUUUGAGCAGUUUGAGAGUUGUGGCAACUUGGGAGAAAGUGCUAUAAUUAUAUUUUAAUUAAAAUAUGUAAAAAUACAUAGAAAAAAUUCAAUAAAUUUUCUUUUGUGAAUAGGGCAAACGUUUUCAUACUUUCUGAAAUGGAUCUAAACAUGUUCCUGCAUUUUACACCAUGCAUUUAUGAAGAAUGGUGGGUGCUCUUAGAGUUGAUGUAUAAAAAUAAACAUUGAACACUUGGACAAACCUCCAAGAUGUUCUGUGUCUUGCAAUAUCAAAUAAGCAGUUAAGAUUUAGGUCCUUAUGUGAACACUAACAAGCAUGUGUAUGUUAUUAGUUUAGUUUUUAAUAAAUUGUAAAAUUGUAUGUAUAGUAGAUAAUUGCCUUAAUUUUCUGUAAUGUGUAAUCAGUGAACAUAUACCUAUUUUCUAGACAUACAUAUCAAUAGUCAUGUAAAAACUUUUCAGGUAUGAAGUGGUUAUGAGUGUAGAGUUUAGGAAGCCUUGUUCUUGACUGUCCAUGUGUAGAUAAUUAAUAUUUGUGGGUAUAGGUGCUAUUUAUUCCUCAUCUAACAAGUUUAAAGUUUGUUUUUAAUAACAGUAAAUAAUGUGUUAACAUAAAGUUAGCAUUACAGCUUUAAAAUUUUUUAUUAGAUAUUUUCUUCAUUUACAUUUCAUAUGUUAUUCCCAAAGUCUCCUAUACUCUCCCCCUGCCCUGCUCCCCAACCCACCCACUCUUGCUUCCUGGUCCUGGCAUUCCCCUGUUUUGGGGCAUAUGAUCUUCCCAAGGUCAAGGGCCUCUCCCCCAUUGACUGCUGACUAGGCCAACCUCUGCUACAUAUGCAACUAGAGACACAGUUCUGUGGGGCAAGAGAAAGUAAACAAGGAGCUAAAGGGGUCGGCAACCCUAUAGGAGGAUCAACAAUAUGAACUAACCAGUACCCCCCCAGAACUGUGUCUCUCGCAUUACAUUUUUAAGGUCAUAGUAUUGUUAGCUAUACACACAUGGUAGUGUUGAAUAGUGUAAGCUUAAGACCUUGUGUUUUAUUCUCAAGAGUCUCAAAAUAUUUUCAAUUUAUCUCUUAAUUUAUUCUUUAGCCCAUUGACUAUACAAGAGUAAGUUAUUUGAUUUCCGCAUGCUUAACAAUGUCUCUGAUUUUUACUUUCAUUUUCUUAUGGUUGGAAGUGAUGUGUGAUGUGGCUUAUAUCUUAUUUAAUUGGUUAAGAUUGUUUUGUUCCCUAACAUUCUAUUUAUACUAUAGAAUUUCCUUUUGAACUUGGGGAUAGGUGUUCUGAGGCAACAGGGCACCACGUUCUUUAUAUGUGGAUCUUGUCCAUCUGUUCUUAGUUUUUUCAAACUUACUGUUGGCUCACAGGUUUCUGUCUGAAUGGCCUGUCUGUUAUUAAGAGUAGGAUAUUAUGAUUUUUUAUUUUUAUUGUGUUACUGUAUAUUUCCCAGGUUCUAUCAAUGUUUGCUUCAUACAUUUGGGUGUUCUGACUACAAAUUCUGCUGAAUUCACUGUUUUUAUCCCCCCCCAUGUAUCACCUAUCCAUCUAUCUAUCUAUUUAUCUAUCUAUCUAUCUAUCUAUCUAUCUAUCUAUCUAUCUAUCUAUCAUUUUUUUGUUUUUCAUGACAUUUUACAUUUUAAAAUAUAUUUUUCUGGUAUGUGUGGAGCAACCUCUGUUUGUUCUCAUUUCAUUAUUGUUUGUAAGAAACAUCAUUUAUAGUUUGCUUUUAGCCGUUACACAUCUUUAGAGUGUAUCUCUUGGAGACAGCAAGCGGUUGGAUCUUGUUUGUUCAAAAUCCAUUCAGAUAUUCCAUUUCUAUGAAUAGAGAAGAACUUAGACUAUCUCUUUAGCAAUUGCUUUUUGUCUGUCUUACAGUUUUUGAGGUCUUUUCUCUGCCUUUCUGUUUUGCUGUCUACUUUUGUAAUGGAUACUUAGCAUCUUCUUGUUCUUCUCUGUCCAUAAUCUAAAGGUAUCGUCUUUGUGUUCACCGCAGGGUUUGUGUAGCAUGACUUAUGUUUAUAACACUGACUUUAAGAUGACUUCAGCUUAUUUUCAACAGUGAAUGCAAGUUUUAUGUUUUGUUUUAUUCCUGAAUUAUUUUGGGAAUGGGCAGACCUUGUGUGUAAUCAGUAAAUGUUCUGACUUUGAGCCACAUCCUCAGCCCUACGUGUUGUCAUUAAUGUCACAAAUUAUAGUUUUAAAGCUGUAUUCUUCAUUUAUGUCCAGCACCAUAGAUGAAAUACUGUAUGAGGUGAAAUUUCACACUGCUAUUAUGGUAUUUCCCUAGUCUAUGCAUUUACUUGACUAUGCAUUUCCCUUCGCCAUUGAGCUUUCUACCUUCAUUGCUUUCAUGGGACUCUUUAUCAUCCUUUAAAUUCAAUUAAAAUUAUCUUUAGCAUUUCUUAUUUUCAUUAAUGUAGUGGUGAUGAAACCCCUCAGCUCUUACUUAUCUGGGAAGGUAUUUCUGCUUUAUUUCUGUGGAGACUAUAGCCAUAUGUAGUAUUCUUGAUUGACACUAUUUUUCUUUAGCACUUGAACAUAUCAUUGUGUUUCCGUUUGCCCCGCAAGCUUGCAAUGUGAAAUCCCUUCUUAUUCUUACCAGGCUGUCUUUGUAUGUGACAAGUCACUUUUAUUUCUGUGCCUACAAAAUCCCCUAUCUUUGAUUGUUGACAAUGUGAUUGUAAUUUCUCAGAUGCGCUUCUUUGGUUUAAUCACAGCUAGGGUCCUUUAGACAUCUAGAUGUCCAUUUUCCCUCACAGGGUCACUUAUUCACACCAUCUUAUUAUCUGCCUCUUUUCUGUUCUCUCUCUCAUCUUUGUUUAUUGUUUUUAGCACUAGGAAUUUAUCCAAGAACCCAAUAAACUCUAUGGCAAUCUCCCAUCGCUUUCUUUCCUAACCACUCUACUUUAUGAUAGCCUCUCAUUUCCGUAGGAUUGUUUUAUUCUCUUUUUGUGUUCAUUUUUACUAUGCUUCUGAUUGGAUAAUGUCAAUGUCUUUGUGACUGCUGAUUCUAUCUUGUGAAUGAAGUUACUACCAUUGUGAAUUUUCAGUUCUAUUCUGUGUUCUUUAGCUUUGAAAUCACUGUUUGGUUAUUU
rnacentral:lncRNA from 1 species